UACGUAGGGGGCAAGCGUUGUCCGGAAUUAUUGGGCGUAAAGAGCGCGUAGGCGGUCCGAUAAGUCGGCUGUGAAAGUCAGGGGCUCAACCCUUGAAAGCCGGCCGAUACUGUCGGACUAGAGUCCGGAAGAGGCAAGUGGAAUUCCCGGUGUAGCGGUGAAAUGCGCAGAUAUCGGGAGGAACACCAAUGGCGAAGGCAGCUCGCUGGGACGUUACUGACGCUGAGACGCGCAAGCGUGGGGAGCAAACAGG
rnacentral:rRNA from 1 species